CGAGUAGGGCCCAAGCCAGCCAGGAAGGAGGAGGCAGCCAGAGUGGCCACCACUGGUCUCUACAGCAGACCCCCUGCUGCCCUGCCCAGCCCAGCAUUUGCCAGGUUUUUAAGGUGGCUGGCAAUUUGAUGAGAUGCAAUAAAAAUCUCGCCAUGAGCUCACCAGCUGGCCAUGGGCUGGUCACAAUCUCUCAGCUCUAGCCAUCCUUCUGCAAGGUGGAAAUCAUAGUGACCUACCCUCCAGGGUUCUUUUUAAGGAUUAAAGGUAGAUAAAAGCCCUGUUCAGACAUUAUAUUGUACAAGUGUGCAGACAUCUGUACACUAAUACAUGUGUUUGGUUGAAUGAUGGCACUUGCAUUCUUUUAUAAAGUGAACCUGGGUACAGAUCCCUGAAAUGCAUGGUACAGAUAGGAAGCCCACUGCUGUUCCUGCGUUCAAUGUUAUGUGUGAAUAACUGUAAAGUAAUGGUAAAGUUGUGCUGUUGAGUCGGUGUUGACUCUUGAUGACCACAGAGCUAUCUGGUUUUAGUAGAAUACAGGAGGGGUUUUCUUUGGUAGAAUACAUUGCCAUCUCCCGCGCAGUAUGAGAUGAUGCUGAAAGCCAUCAUCCUAUAUUGCUUCUGCCCCAUAUAAGUGUUUCCCACAGUCUGGGAAACAUACCAGCGGGGAUUCAAACCAGCUGCCUCUUGCUCCCUAGGCAAGUUACUUCCCUGCUGAACCAUUAGGUAGCUCUGUGAAUAAAUGUACCUGUGUAUAUAUCUGUACCUGUGUACAUUGUACAUUUUUUGUACAAAUGUUGAACACAAUGUGUGAAUAGGAGUAUUGUUCGUUAUGUAAAGUGCUUUGACACUUGGAAGCACCAUAAAAGGCUUACUUGUUAGGUCUUGACUAUACCUCACACUAAGUCAUUGAGACACUCUUCUGGUAUUGAGCCAGUUUUAGCAAGCAUGACUAAAAAGCAUGACUUUUUAGCUAAGCAAGAUCUGACCUGGUUGCAUAUGAAUGGGAGACUACAUGUGUGAGCACUGUAAGAUAUUCUGUUCAGGGGAUGGAGCCGCUCUGGGAAGAGCAUCUAGGUUACAAGUUCCCUCCCUGGCAUCUCCAAGAUAGGGCUGAGAUUCCUGCCUGCAACCUUGGAGAAGCCGCUGCCAGUCUGUAUAGACAAUACUGGGCUAGAUGGACCAAUGGUCUGACUCAGAAUAUGGCAGCUUCCUAUCUAUCUAUAUGUUGGUCCAGAGAGUCUCUUAAUAUGGUGGAAGAGCAGGUGAAAGUCCCCAUCCUUACCUAAGGUAAAGUAGAGAACAGGUAUCUAUUUUGUGAUCCCAAUUGGCUUCCCCUCAAAAAUGGGUUCAAAUCAGACUCCAUAUAGUGCAACCACUUCUCAUGUUAAGCUUAGUUACAGUAGGGAAGGGGGUGCAUACCCACACCAUCCCAAUAACAGAGGGUUAUUGACAAUCUUUAUUUAUUUAAAAUAUUUAUAUGCUAUGCCUCCAGUGCACUACUGCUUGGGGCAGCCCACAAAAUUGGCAAUCUAAAUGUAUGGGUUGUAAUAGUUUCUCCCUCCCUCCCUUUCUCCCUCCUUUUUUUGCCCCUUUGGUCUUGCCAGUAAAUGUUAUCUCUAAAAUUUUCUUAACAUAGAACCCAACAGAGAUACAGUUUAUCUUCAGUUAAUAUCUGUGUCCAUGUAAGCAAACGGCAACUCUGAAAAGCUAAACCAUCAUAGCAAGUGUGGUACUUGCUGAGACAGCACCAUUGUGUUCAGCUGCACAGCAUGACCUAGCAAAAAUAACCAUCAGCAGUUGGUAUUUGUCCUGCCAAGGAAAAAAGAACCACCAGGAGCUCGAUGUUUGACUCUUCAGGCAGAGUUUAUAAGAACUAUGAACCAGGAAUGAAACACAACCUGCUAACAAUGUUCAAAGAGUACUGUAUUUAAUAGGAAGUGGCCACUUGCAGGGAGGGAAAAACACUAUAUUUUAUUUUUAACAUUCCAGUGCUUAUACUUCAUUUCUUACUGUGCAGCUUGUACUAGGUGUUACAAUUUUGUAUGUGUGUGUUAAAAAAAUGGUUCAGAUACCACUGCAGUUUGUCUGUUGGAACAAGGCUAAGCAACAGAAAAGAAAUCUGAAAUUGAUUCUGAUUUCCACAGAACUUGGCAAGCCACCAUAAGAAGACAAGGGAUUUGCAAUAAGAUGCAGUGUGAUGGUGAUGUGCUUAAGCACCUAAACAGACUAAUUUUUAAUAGGGUCUGUGGUGCUGAUAUACUGUCCCAUGUGAGGAAGGGGCUGGAGCUCAGUGGUAGAACAUAAUAUGCUUUGCAUUUAAUGAUCCUGGUUCAAUACAUGGCAACUACAGGUCACAGAGGACUCCUGUGUUCAGGUGACUAAUGGCUGAAUCCAGAAGAGCCAGGAGGAUCAUUGCUGAGGGGAGUAGGGCAGGGCAAGAACUUUGCUUGAAUCAUUGGAGAACUUGAAUCAUUGGAGAACAUUGGAAAAGAUGAUACUAGGCUAGAUGACCCAAUGGUCUCACAUAAGGUACUAGAGUUUUAUUUAUAUGUAUGUUAUAUGCUCUUUGUACUUCAUAUUUUGUAUUGUUUUCAUGUGUGUGUAUUAAAAUGUUUAAUCAGAUUUGUUUUAUAUUUUUAGCUUAAUAUUUUAAUUGUGUCAUUUUUACAAUUUUGUUUUUAAAUUCUGCUGUAAACCACAUUCGGAUUGUUUUAAUUUAAAUUUAACAAUAAAUAAAUAUGUUCAUAUGA